rnacentral:rRNA from 1 species
UACAGAGGGGGCAAGCGUUGUUCGGAAUUACUGGGCGUAAAGGGCGCGUAGGCGGCCGGCUAAGUCGGACGUGAAAUCCCCGGGCUCAACCCGGGAACUGCGUCCGAUACUGGCAGGCUUGAAUCCGGGAGAGGGAUGCGGAAUUCCAGGUGUAGCGGUGAAAUGCGUAGAUAUCUGGAGGAACACCGGUGGCGAAGGCGGCAUCCUGGACCGGUAUUGACGCUGAGGCGCGAAAGCCAGGGGAGCAAACGGG